rnacentral:rRNA from 1 species
CACGGAGUUAGCCGAUGCUUUUUCUUCGGGUACUCUCGCUUGUGGCCUCACGAGGCCUUUUUGCUCCCCGACAAAAGAGGUUUACAAUCCAUAGGACCGUCUUCCCUCACGCGACUUGGCUGGUUCAGGCUCUCGCCCAUUGACCAAUAUUCCUCACUGCUGCCUCCCGUAGGAGUCUGGUCCGUGUCUCAGUACCAGUGUGGGGGACCUUCCUCUCAGAACCCCUACGCAUCGUCGCCUCGGUGGGCCGUUACCCCGCCGACUAGCUAAUGCGCCGCAUGCCCAUCCGUAGCCGGAAUCGCUUCCUUUAAUCCCUCAGGGAUGCCCCCGAAAGAUAUUACGCGGUAUUAGACGGAAUUUCUUCCGCUUAUCCCCCUGCUACGGGCAGGUCGCAUACGUGUUACUCACCCGUGCGCCGGUCGCCGUCUGGCAAGUGCAAGCACUCGCCUCCGCCUUUUCGCCCCUCGACUUGCAUGUGUUAAGCCUGUCGCUAGCGUUCAUCCUGAGCCAGGA